GAUGAACGCUGGCGGCGUGCCUAACACAUGCAAGUCGAACGAACCUAAUCUUCGGAAAGGGUUAGUGGCGCACGGGUGAGUAACACGUAGGUGACCUGCCCCGAAGUGGGGAUAACUUCUCGAAAGAGAAGCUAAUACCGCAUAUGCUCAGCCAUUCAGUUGGUUGAGUAAAGCUCCGGCGCUUCGGGAGGGGCCUGCGUCCGAUUAGCUAGUUGGUGGGGUAAUGGCCUACCAAGGCGAUGAUCGGUAGCUGGUCUGAGAGGACGAUCAGCCACACUGGCACUGACACACGGGCCAGACUCCUACGGGAGGCAGCAGUGAGGAAUAUUGGUCAAUGGGCGAAAGCCUGAACCAGCAACGCCGCGUGA
rnacentral:rRNA from 1 species